AGAUAAAUGGACAGCUUUGUCAUCAAUACUUUGACAUAGUGGCAACUGCCAGACCUUAUAGAAAGAUUUCAAGAGGAGGGGAUUGAUGAGGAAAGUUUUCUUCUUUUAGAUGAGGCCACCAUCAAAGAGCUGAUUACAAGCUGGCCCUAGGCUCAAGUUUCUCAAGAUGUUUCUCAAGAAGUUUCUCAAGAAGGAUCAAUUCUUCAGUUUUCCGGGAGUCCAGACUGGUCAAGUUCCUCCAAGUACUUGCAUGCAAGUAGCAUGUUUAGGUGUUUACUGAUACUGAUUUUAACUGUUCCAUGCAGUGACCUGAAUUAGAAAACAUUUAUAUUGUGGACAAUAAUACUUUUUUUCCAAGAUUCCAAUAUUGUUUAAGUGUUUAUUGCAUAAUAUAUGCUUUGCAUGACCAAAUCUAGUAUGUAUUUUGUUAUAGGUUUGUAGUUUAACAAUUUUAUAGAUAUCGGUAUUGCAGUUUAUUUUCUUAUAGACUGUACUGUAAUGUGUUAGAAUUAAUCUGGUAUAUUUGAUCCAGCAUUUGGAUAUAAUAUAUAACGAAUAUAUGUAGUUGAAACUCAUCUGGUGGGUUAAAAUGGACCAACCCAUCUUGCUGGGUCAAAAUAACUGCUGAUGGGCUGGUGCAAUAGUGACCCGGCCCUUGGGUUAAAAAACAACCCAAAUUGGGUUAUUUUUAACCCAUCAUUUUAUCAUUUAUGCAUAAACGAUGAAAUGACAGUAUGUAUGUUCUUACAAAAACACAUCACUAAUUUUAUCAUCUUUAUCUUUAUCUUUGUGAGUCGCGGGGGAAGAAGGAGCUAAUCGAGCAAGAAUCAGAAGCAGACAAACACAAAAUAGUAAAAAUAAAGGAAAACAAAUUAUAAUUUGCAGCACUAAUAUGACUUUAAAGCACAACUACGUGACUUUUUUCAAUCCUCUGCUUUCAUCAUGGCGUGAUUGCUACAGCAACAGCAUGUCAAGCUAAAUGACAUAGUGUGGAUUAGUACGGAGCCCCGGACAUGACAUGGUAAAAAAAACUAUAACGUGCGCACGAAAUACUACUUCGUGGCCACGAAAUAAGUGUAAUGUGCGCACGAAAUACUAAUUAAUAAUAUUAUCAUUCCUGGACACCUGGGUAAGCAAAUCGAGCGGUGUUGUGUUGUUAUUGUCGUACCUGCGCCGGUAAAGAAACCUGCCUCUAAACAAUAUUCUGUUUAAAUGCCUCUUGGUAAUAAUGCCUUGCAAUGACAGGCUUUUCAGAAUGUCUUUGUAGCUCAUUCCCAGCCUAAAAUAAAACUCUAUCAAGCUGUCUAUGUCCAUCUUGUAGCUUGAGCCACUCUACUGCCUCUCUAGGAACAAGCACACAUUACUUUCUUUUCUUAAAAUUUUACUCAUGCUGCAAAAAUAUACGUGGAGAUAACAAAAACACGAAAAUAAUUUUUACCAUCAGUGCUGGAGUUCACAGACAUGCUCUGAAUAGUUCCUGCGAGAAAUGAUCAAUGUACAGUAGGAAAAAGAGUUAGUGAAUUAGAGUGCUGUCAGUUAGAAAGAAGAAGGUGUUGAAGAGACAUAUUCAAUCAGCAGGGCAAUAAUUGCUGUGAUUCAUUAGUAUUCAUUAGUUAGCCAGUUAGGAUGUGAGACGAGAGGACAAAUCUGCCGAAAUGUAUUUAAUAUUUAUAGAAAUAGAGUUUUGGUGUCUUAAGUAUAGUGUAAAACUCUUGAACCUUUAAUAUUUAUGGACUUGUGUGUACAGCAGGGUGUGAUUACGGUGUGAGACAGUGUGACGGAAGCAGAGACAGUGAAACCGUCGCUCUCAAACAGAAGUCUGUCUCGCUCCUGUCCCAGACCCACAGUGGAGGAAAGAUGCCCCUGUAACCUUUAUCUGAAAUCAUGAUUUCCACAAGUGCUACUUGUUCAUUUAGAAACCACAGCGCCUGUUAUGGUUCUUCUGUGAAGGGACUUCUACAGUGUUCCACACUCCAGCAACAGAGACAUCGGCGAGUCCAGUCUUUAAGUCCUCAUUCCUUAAAUCUGUCUGCAUCGACAUCAGACUUAGCAGUGAGGAUCUUCCUGUGCUGCCAU